AUUGAACGCUGGCGGCAGGCCUAACACAUGCAAGUCGAGCGGAUGAAGGGAGCUUGCUCCUGGAUUCUGCGGCGGACGGGCGAGUAAUUCCUAGGAAUCUGCCUGGUAGUGUGGGAUAACGUCCGUAAACGGGCGCUAAUACCGCAUACGUUCUGCUGGAGAAAGGGGGGGAUCUACGGUCCUCACGCUUUCAGAUGAGCCUAGGUCGGAUUAGCUAGUUGGUAGGGUAAAGGCCUACCAAGGCGACGAUCCGUAACUGGUCUGAGAGGAUGAUCAGACACACUGGAACUGAGACACGGUCCAGACUCCUACGGGAGGCAGCAGUAGGGAAUAUUGCGCAAUGGGCGAAAGCCUGACCCAGCAACGCCGCGUGUGUGAAGAAGGUCUUCGGAUUGUAAAGCACUUUUAGUAGGGAAGAAGAGAUGUAAAAUAAUCCCUGGAUGUUUUGACGUUACCAAAAGAAUAAGCACCGGCUAACUUCGUG
rnacentral:rRNA from 1 species